AUUGAACGCUGGCGGCAGGCCUAACACAUGCAAGUCGAGCGGAUGAGAGGAGCUUGCUCUUCGAUUCAGCGGCGGACGGGUGAGUAAUGCCUAGGAAUCUGCCUAGUAGUGGGGGACAACGUUUCGAAAGGAACGCUAAUACCGCAUACGUCCUACGGGAGAAAGUGGGGGAUCGUCGGACCUCACGCUAUUAGAUGAGCCUAGGUCGGAUUAGCUAGUUGGUAGGGUAACGGCCUACCAAGGCGACGAUCCGUAACUGGUCUGAGAGGAUGAUCAGUCACACUGGAACUGAGACACGGUCCAGACUCCUACGGGAGGCAGCAGUGGGGAAUAUUGGACAAUGGGCGAAAGCCUGAUCCAGCCAUGCCGCGUGUGUGAAGAAGGCCCUCGGGUCGUAAAGCACUUUAAGUUGGGAGGAAGGGCUUACAGCGAAUACCUGUGAGUUUUGACGUUACCGACAGAAUAAGCACCGGCUAACUUCGUGCCAGCCGCCGCGGUAA
rnacentral:rRNA from 1 species